rnacentral:rRNA from 1 species
AGGUAAGCUACUAAGAGCGAAUGGUGGAUGCCUUGACUGGUAAAGGCGAUGAAGGACGUACUAGACUGCGAUAAGCUACGGGGAGCUGUCAAGAAGCUUUGAUCCGUAGAUUUCCGAAUGGGGCAACCCAAUGUAUAGAGAUAUACAUUACCUAUAUAGGAGCGAACGAGGGGAAUUGAAACAUCUUAGUACCCUCAGGAAAAGAAAUCAAUAGAGAUUGCGUCAGUAGCGGCGAGCGAAAGCGCAAGAGGGCAAACCCAGUGCUUGCACUGGGGGUUGUAGGACUGCAAUGUGCAAGAGGUGAGUUUAGCAGAACAUUCUGGAAAGUAUAGCCAUAGAGGGUGAUAGUCCCGUAUGCGAAAAACAAACCUUAGCUAGCAGUAUCCUGAGUAGGGCGGGACACGAGAAAUCCUGUCUGAAGCUGGGUCGACCACGAUCCAACCCUAAAUACUAAUACCAGAUCGAUAGUGCACAAGUACCGUGAGGGAAAGGUGAAAAGAACUGAGGUGAUCAGAGUGAAAUAGAACCUGAAACCAUUUGCUUACAAUCAUUCAGAGCCCUAUGUAGCAAUACAGGGUGAUGGACUGCCUUUUGCAUAAUGAGCCUGCGAGUUGUGGUGUCUGGCAAGGUUAAGCAAACGCGAAGCCGUAGCGAAAGCGAGUCUGAAUAGGGCGCUUAGUCAGAUGCUGCAGACCCGAAACGAAGUGAUCUAUCCAUGAGCAAGUUGAAGCUAGUGUAAGAACUAGUGGAGGACUGAACCCAUAGGCGUUGAAAAGCCCCGGGAUGACUUGUGGAUAGGGGUGAAAGGCCAAUCAAACUUCGUGAUAGCUGGUUCUCUCCGAAAUAUAUUUAGGUAUAGCGUUGUGUCGUAAUAUAAGGGGGUAGAGCACUGAAUGGGCUAGGGCAUACACCAAUGUACCAAACCCUAUCAAACUCCGAAUACCUUAUAUGUAAUCACAGCAGUCAGGCGGCGAGUGAUAAAAUCCGUCGUCAAGAGGGAAACAACCCAGACUACCAGCUAAGGUCCCUAAAUCUUACUUAAGUGGAAAACGAUGUGAAGUUACUUAAACAACCAGGAGGUUGGCUUAGAAGCAGCCAUCCUUUAAAGAAAGCGUAAUAGCUCACUGGUCUAGUGAUUUUGCGCGGAAAAUAUAACGGGGCUAAAGUAAGUACCGAAGCUGUAGACUUGCGCACAACUUAGAUUAUUUAAGUUUAGAAUAUGAGAAACUAAGUUAUAUGUUUAGUUAUAUUUUUACUGAUUUUUAUAGAGUAAAGAUAGAAAUAAAACUUAGUAAAAUCAGUAAAAAUAUUCUUAGACUAAAGUUAAGUAGUUUAAGUUGUGUGCAAGUGGUAGGAGAGCGUUCUAUUUGCGUCGAAGGUAUACCGGUAAGGAGUGCUGGAGCGAAUAGAAGUGAGCAUGCAGGCAUGAGUAGCGAUAAUUAAUGUGAGAAUCAUUAACGCCGUAAACCCAAGGUUUCCUACGCGAUGCUCGUCAUCGUAGGGUUAGUCGGGUCCUAAGUCGAGUCCGAAAGGGGUAGACGAUGGCAAAUUGGUUAAUAUUCCAAUACCAACAUUAGUGUGCGAUGGAAGGACGCUUAGGGCUAAGGGGGCUAGCGGAUGGAAGUGCUAGUCUAAGGUCGUAGGAGGUUAUACAGGCAAAUCCGUAUAACAAUACUCCGAGAACUGAAAGGCUUUUUGAAGUCUUCGGAUGGAUAGAAGAACCCCUGAUGCCGUCGAGCCAAGAAAAGUUUCUAAGUUUAGCUAAUGUUGCCCGUACCGUAAACCGACACAGGUGGGUGGGAUGAGUAUUCUAAGGCGCGUGGAAGAACUCUCUUUAAGGAACUCUGCAAAAUAGCACCGUAUCUUCGGUAUAAGGUGUGGUUCGCUUCGUAUUAGGAUUUACUCCGAAAGCGAAGAAACUUACAACAAAGAGUCCCUCCCGACUGUUUACCAAAAACACAGCACUCUGCUAACUCGUAAGAGGAUGUAUAGGGUGUGACGCCUGCCCGGUGCUCGAAGGUUAAUUGAUGGGGUUAGCAUUAGCGAAGCUCUUGAUCGAAGCCCGAGUAAACGGCGGCCGUAACUAUAACGGUCCUAAGGUAGCGAAAUUCCUUGUCGGUUAAAUACCGACCUGCAUGAAUGGCGUAACGAGAUGGGAGCUGUCUCAAAGAGGGAUCCAGUGAAAUUGUAGUGGAGGUGAAAAUUCCUCCUACCCGCGGCAAGACGGAGAGACCCCGUGGACCUUUACUACAGCUUGACACUGCUAUUUGGAUAAGAAUGUGCAGGAUAGGUGGGAGGCUUUGAGUAUAUGACGCCAGUUGUAUAUGAGCCAUUGUUGAGAUACCACUC